rnacentral:rRNA from 1 species
UACGAAGGGGGCUAGCGUUGCUCGGAAUCACUGGGCUUAAAGGGCGCGUAGGCGGGCAAGCAAGUCCGGGGGUGAAAUCUUUCGGCUCAACCGGAAAAGUGCCUUGGAUACUGCUUGUCUCGAGGGAGGUAGGGGUUGCUGGAACUUCCGGUGGAGCGGUGAAAUGCGUUGAUAUCGGAAGGAACGCCGGUGGCGAAAGCGAGCAACUGGAUCUCUUCUGACGCUGAGGCGCGAAAGCUAGGGGAGCAAACGGG